rnacentral:rRNA from 1 species
GGGUUAUAUUCCCGUACUUCUGACUAUUGCGAUGGGGGGACGGAGAAGGCUAGGUGGGCCAGGCGACGGUUGUCCUGGUUCAAGUGCGUAGGCUUGAGAGUUAGGUAAAUCCGGCUCUCUCUAAGGCUGAGACACGACGUCGAGCUGCUACGACAGUGAAGUCAUUGAUGCCAUGCUUCCAGGAAAAGCCUCUAAGCUUCAGAUAGUCAGGAAUCGUACCCCAAACCGACACAGGUGGUCGGGUAGAGAAUACCAAGGCGCUUGAGAGAACUCGGGUGAAGGAACUAGGCAAAAUGGUACCGUAACUUCGGGAGAAGGUACGCUCUUGAUGGUGAAGUCCCUCGCGGAUGGAGCUGACGAGAGUCGCAGAUACCAGGUGGCUGCAACUGUUUAUUAAAAACACAGCACUGUGCAAAAUCGCAAGAUGACGUAUACGGUGUGACGCCUGCCCGGUGCCGGAAGGUUAAUUGAUGGGGUUAGCGCAAGCGAAGCUCUUGAUCGAAGCCCCGGUAAACGGCGGCCGUAACUAUAACGGUCCUAAGGUAGCGAAAUUCCUUGUCGGGUAAGUUCCGACCUGCACGAAUGGCGUAAUGAUGGCCACGCUGUCUCCACCCGAGACUCAGUGAAAUUGAAAUCGCUGUGAAGAUGCAGUGUACCCGCGGCUAGACGGAAAGACCCCGUGAACCUUUACUACAGCUUGGCACUGAACAUUGAACCUACAUGUGUAGGAUAGGUGGGAGGCUAUGAAGACGUGACGCCAGUUGCGUUGGAGCCGUCCUUGAAAUACCACCCUUGUAUGUUUGAUGUUCUAACUUAGACCCAUUAUCUGGGUUGAGGACAGUGCCUGGUGGGUAGUUUGACUGGGGCGGUCUCCUCCCAAAGAGUAACGGAGGAGCACGAAGGUGGGCUAAUCACGGUUGGACAUCGUGAGGUUAGUGCAAUGGCAUAAGCCCGCUUAACUGCGAGAAUGACGGUUCGAGCAGGUGCGAAAGCAGGUCAUAGUGAUCCGGUGGUUCUGUAUGGAAGGGCCAUCGCUCAACGGAUAAAAGGUACUCCGGGGAUAACAGGCUGAUACCGCCCAAGAGUUCAUAUCGACGGCGGUGUUUGGCACCUCGAUGUCGGCUCAUCACAUCCUGGGGCUGAAGUCGGUCCCAAGGGUAUGGCUGUUCGCCAUUUAAAGUGGUACGCGAGCUGGGUUUAGAACGUCGUGAGACAGUUCGGUCCCUAUCUGCCGUGGGCGUUGGAAGAUUGAAGGGGGCUGCUCCUAGUACGAGAGGACCGGAGUGGACGAACCUCUGGUGUUCGGGUUGUGUCGCCAGACGCAUUGCCCGGUAGCUAAGUUCGGAAUUGAUAAGCGCUGAAAGCAUCUAAGCGCGAAGCGAGCCCUGAGAUGAGUCUUCCCUGACAGUUUAACUGUCCUAAAGGGUUGUUCGAGACUAGAACGUUGAUAGGCAGGGUGUGUAAGCGUUGUGAGGCGUUGAGCUAACCUGUACUAAUUGCCCGUGAGGCUUAACCAU